UCACAGAUAAUCACGGAAUCGCUGUACUAUAAAUAUGAAACAGGGUAUGCAAAAUAGCUAAGUAGAGCAACAAGGAAACAUGGUAUCACAAACAGAUAGACUAUACUCCUACACAUGAUACUAAGCAUGGAAACAUCUGGGUAGAGUGUAAUCAAACAACGUGGGUGUAAUGUAAACAAUAGAGGUGCAAAGCUCAACAUAUAAUAUAAGCAUGGAUAAUAACAAAAGAGCAAGGGUAAGAAACCAUCACCGAGCGUGCACCACUGUACCAACGUCGGAUCGAAGUACCCACCUGUACAACUGUCGCGCCUGUCUCAUGACUGCAAAAGAACGUCAACCGGACCUAAGGAAGGUCCACCGGGUUAGUGUCUAACCCACAACUAAGAAACCCUAAAAGCGUAACCCCACAAAUAAACCCACGAGAAUCGGUUUCCCAAAACCGAUUACCGAACAAACCAGAAGUCCCGAAAUCGCACCGGGACUCCGUCGGGACCCACGAACUAUCCCGGAACGUACCGACUCGUGCUACGAGUCAUCCGCUGCCACUAAACGUAAAAAUUGUGUAUCAUGGCAGCAAACACCACUCCUUACGUCGAAACAAUUAUCGUCGGAUAAUCGUUUUGAUCCGGGUUCCCGGAAGUGUCUAAUUCGACACCGGAACCUACGGUCGCUCACCUGUCAUUUCCGAACCCUCAAAAUGAUGCGAGUGACCAGCCAACAAGGCUCAACGACUACACAAUUCAUCACGAAGCACUGUCGGAAAGAAUCCGAACCGAUCCCGCGUUCCGUCGGCGGAUUUCGCCGAGAAACGCGCCGAAAAUCUCUUUCCGACACUUGCAAAGGCUUGGGGCCUUGGACGAUCAGUCCAGAGGUUAUCCUCAGCCCUAACUUGCUGCCAACAGUAGCCACGACGAAUAAAGUUGCAUAAAAGCCCGUCCGAAUACCCGAAAUCGCAUUAUUUCAUGUGAUUUCGGCGCUUUUAUAGUCCGUCUGCACAAACCAGAAGUGAAACAGCGAAGCCGAGACACCCGCUGACAGGUCUCGGCGUGCCGGAAACCGUGCUCACCUUUCGGAGCAAUUCCGGCCACAGAGGGAAGCGCACGAGCAAUGCGAAACUCUGCGAGACUGCGCGCACAGCGCAAAGAUUGCGAUUAACUCGCUAACCAGGGCAUCAUUGCCGCUGUCGGAGGUGAGCACGAUGUUCAGCACGAACCCUAGAUCAUCGUGCUCACUUCCCGGGGUGUCGGGGAGUCAUUGGAUCACCGGAAGGGUGGCCGGAAAGCUAAACUACUGUGCUGGAACACAAAACGGCCUUACCGGAUCCGAGGAGGGCUAGGGUUGGUCGCCGGCGACCGGGAGGCGGGCGGCCCGGCCAGGGAAGGGUGCGGCCGGUCGGUGGGGUUCGGGGCACCUGCUGGCCGGCGGCGGGAGGUGGCCGGUGGCGCGGCGGCGCAGCUCAAAGCCGCCGAGUUCCUCUCGGGUUCGAGCUUCCCGGCGGCGCGGCGGCGGCCGGAGGAGGUCGGGGCGGCGAGGAUCCGGUGCCGGAGACCGAGGGGAAGGUGGUGCACCCCUCGGUGGGCAGUGGCGGUGCUUGGGAGCCGAGCGGGCCCGACCUCGGCCCGCACGGGUCUGGGCGGCCGCAGGAGGUUCCAGCGGCGGCCGGCAGCGUGCAGGGACGGCGGGACGGCAAGCGGGAGGUUGCCGGGGGUCACCGGAAGGCGGCGCGGCCGAUGGGGAGCGACGGUGGCGCGCCUAGACCGAGGUCACCCAAGCUCGGCCUGGGCUGACCGCAGAUGGCCGCAGGGGACUCGCGGGGCUCCGGCAGGGCACGGGGAUGGCCGGAGUCGGCGGGGAAGAUGCCGGAGAUGGGUCUCGGCCAGGGGAUGGUGAAGCUCGGGUGAAAGAAGCUUCCUUCGCAACUUCGGCGAAGUCGGAGGAGAGGGUGGCCGAGAGAGCAAGAGAAGAGGUCGGGGUGGCUUUUCCGGCGGCCGGGGCAGCUCGCCGGCGGCCGGGGCGUGCGCACGAGUUGGGCAGGGAGAAGGUGGGGCGGCUAGGGCUCGGUUCGGCUGAGGAGAAGGCCAAAAGCUAGGGUUUUCUCACGAAACCCUAGUGCAACUACUAUUUACAUAUGCACAUUUGCAAGAUAGUCCUCCCAGGGAUAAUAUUCUCAGUCAAGUCCCUCACAGCAUGCGUAUUUUACACAUACGCACCUCCAUGUCCGAUCUCACGCAAUUCGGCACAUAAAAUAUAGGGUCUCUUCGCGAUUUAUCCGUUUUGCCACCUUGACCCCUCAGCGAAAAUCUCGUAAUUCCCGGAGAUCCGUCUGUCGGAUUUUCGAUCCGACAGCACCAUUGCGUUCAGCACGUCGGGGGCAUCAAAACUACAAUGUUGAUUCGUCCGAUUUGGUCACGGAUUCGCGACGGAAUACAUCCGCUCUCUAAUUAAUCCGUAUAUCGCACAUAUACCAAAGCAUAAACCCUAAAAUCUUUAAUUCAAAUUUAAAUUUGAAUUCCCUACCACCAAUAGGUACCAGAAACAACUCUCACCUAUCCCCAGGUCACAAGCCAGAGCACGAGGAGUUUUAAAAUGCACGAAUAGCAAAGAGCGAAAACCCUCUUUUUGUUAAAACUCCUUUUUCUCGAAAACCGUGCAUCGGAUCCGAAAUCCGUCAGUGCCAUUGGUUCCAGAAUAGCUGAACCGUUCGAAACGAGCUAUUGGAGUCCUAUGUUCGGAGUCCGAUACGCGCCGAAAGCCAACUCUACUCCGUGGCUUCUCCGGAAAACCGGAGUUACUAUUCACUUUAAGUGAAAACUAAUAAUCGCGUAACUUCUCCAUUUUAGCUCAUUUUCUCCUGAAACUUGACGAGUGCUUAUGUAAUUAAAUUACACACAUAAACAUCGUCAACGGAG
rnacentral:lncRNA from 1 species